rnacentral:rRNA from 1 species
CCACACUGGGACUGAGACACGGCCCAGACUCUACGGGAGGCAGCAGUGGGGAAUAUUGCACAAUGGGCGAAAGCCUGAUGCAGCGACGCCGCGUGAGGGAUGACGGCCUUCGGGUUGUAAACCUCUUUCAGCAGGGAAGAAGCGAAAGUGACGGUACCUGCAGAAGAAGCGCCGGCUAACUACGUGCCAGCAGCCGCGGUAAUACGUAGGGCGCAAGCGUUGUCCGGAAUUAUUGGGCGUAAAGAGCUCGUAGGCGGCUUGUCACGUCGGAUGUGAAAGCCCGGGGCUUAACCCCGGGUCUGCAUUCGAUACGGGCUAGCUAGAGUGUGGUAGGGGAGAUCGGAAUUCCUGGUGUAGCGGUGAAAUGCGCAGAUAUCAGGAGGAACACCGGUGGCGAAGGCGGAUCUCUGGGCCAUUACUGACGCUGAGGAGCGAAAGCGUGGGGAGCGAACAGGAUUAGAUACCCUGGUAGUCCACGCCGUAAACGUUGGGAACUAGGUGUUGGCGACAUUCCACGUCGUCGGUGCCGCAGCUAACGCAUUAAGUUCCCCGCCUGGGGAGUACGGCCGCAAGGCUAAAACUCAAAGGAAUUGACGGGGGCCCGCACAAGCAGCGGAGCAUGUGGCUUAAUUCGACGCAACGCGAAGAACCUUACCAAGGCUUGACAUAUACCGGAAAGCAUCAGAGAUGGUGCCCCCCUUGUGGUCGGUAUACAGGUGGUGCAUGGC